UGAAUUUUCAUAUGAAUUUUAUUUAUUUUUUUCUCUUUUUUUAAGCUUUAAACUUCUUAUUUUUUUGAAUUGGGGUAUAAUUUAUUAACAAAUAUUAUGAUCAUUUCAAGUGAACAGUGAAGCGGCUCAGUCAUACAUAUGGCUGAGUUUCAAGCAUGUUCUUGACAGGAGAGAAUUUCCAAUGUGAUUAGAUGUCAUGAGAAGCAAAUUUUCCACUUACGAUUUUAAAUGUCCGCUGAUUGGAGAAUUUUCCAUCGACUAGUUCUGGUUUCACAUGUUUCAAAAAUCUUUUCUCCUCCAUUGUUGGUACACUGUGAUGCUAAGUGCCAUAGGAAACAUUCAUAUACUGAUACAACUCCUGGGCCCCAGCCUUUAAAAAAAAAAAAAAUUGAAGUAUAACUCGUUUACAAUGUUUCAGGUGUAUAGCAAAGUGAUUCAGUUAUACAUACACAUAUAUGUUAUACCUAUAUACCUAUAUUCUUUUUCUCAUGAAAAUUAGUGAUCAUUUUUAUUUCUCUUAAUAGUUAACUUUGUCCAAGAAGAAUUUUCUUUUUAUGUUUCCUUCAGAAAAGCAAUAACAAUAAUAUCAGAAUAACCACCAUGCAAUAAGAGUUGAAUGUGUGAGACAGACUUCAUAUAUUACUGCAUUCAAUCCUCAGUUUCUAUUGAGGCAGAUGGUAUCAUAACUUUCUCACCAAACGCAACAACAACUACUUGCUCAAGACUACAAACUUGUCAUCAAGAUUUUGCCCUCUGGGAAAGGAAUAUUUGUGAUAUGUCUGGCAGGGAACAAAGUAGAGAAAGAGCCACAGGUGAGGACAGGGAAAAUAUUUUAUCAGUUCCUAGCAUUUUCAUCCAUGAUGAAAAUCAUUUUCUUUUAAGUUCUCUGUAUUCUUGA
ensembl:lincRNA